UCCAAGGCGUGGACAAUAGCCGUCGUCUCAGUGGAUAGUUUGGCGACUUUUCUGUUGACUUUGUCUAUUUCUUCUGUCGUAGACACACCGAACAGCCAAUUCAAGAUCUUGCCUUCGCCAUCGACCAGUCCUGACUUGUCAACUCGUAUACCGCUUAGUCUCGAACCAUUGCUGUCAGCUGUUGUUGAGCUUUCUCGGCGUUGAAUGGAUUGUAGCUGAGUAUGUCCUGAGAUUGUUUUUUGGACGGUUAGUCGUUCGUCUUCGCUGGUUGUAACAUACUCUGGAAAUCCUUAUUGCUGGAACUGCCUAAUACAAUUAAUUUGAUUUUUUCCAUUA